UACGAAGGGGGCUAGCGUUGUUCGGAAUUACUGGGCGUAAAGCGCACGUAGGCGGAAUGUUUAGUCAGGGGUGAAAUCCCGGGGCUCAACCCCGGAACUGCCUUUGAUACUGGCAUUCUCGAGUCCGGAAGAGGUGAGUGGAAUUCCGAGUGUAGAGGUGAAAUUCGUAGAUAUUCGGAGGAACACCAGUGGCGAAGGCGGGUCUCUGGACAGUUCCUGACGCUGAGGCACGAAGGUCAGGGGAGCAAACGGG
rnacentral:rRNA from 1 species